AUCCCACCAUACAUCCAUCCAUCUCUCCAUCUCAGAUCCUGCACCUGCAGCCCUAGCUCAGACUCCUCCCUCGUCCCCAUCUUCACACCGCCGCCGCCACCUCCUCCCUGUCCCCGCCAGAUCUGCGCCCACACCCCGUCGGCGGUCUCCCCCUCCGACCCCUUCUCCCCCUCCGACCCUUCUCCCCCACCCUUCUUCACCCCUCCUCUUUUCUCCACCAACACACCACAGGUUCGAGGGGAGCUCGCCUCGCCGUCAGGAGCAUGAAGGUCUCCGUCAUGUCCCGGAGCGGCCGCGAGGUCGUCAAGGGCGGCAUCGAGCUCAAGGACUCGGCUGCGGCUCCCCGUGGUGCUCCUCUCAUGCUCCCUCUUCUUCCUCGCCGGCUUCCUCGGCUCCCUCCUCUUCACCCAGCAACGACUCACGCGGCCGCCCCGCAGAUUCGUUUCGUCGCCCGCGCGCGGGUGGGCCUCUGAUCUGGGGUGGUUCUGGUGGUUGUUUCGGUGGCAGGAUCCGCAGGGCGAGGAGGACCCGGAGCGGCCGCUGCGGAGGUAGCGGGUGAUGGAGGCCGUCUUGCCGGAGAUGUCGUACGGGGAGUCCGGCGACCCCGCGCCCUCCUUGAUCCCUUACCAGAUUUGGAAGCUGUUCAAUGGGUUCAGGUUCAGGUUCAGUUGGAAGCUGUUCUUUGGGGUAUCGGGACAGCACUUGGAGCUCUAGGCCUAUGCAAUUUGAAGUUUGAAGCACUUGAAACCAAGAGCAAAGCAGUGAAGCCCUAGUCAACAAAGAUAUGUUUGAUCAGUUUAACUAUAGUACAAUGUAAAUUGUAAUAUUGUAACAGAUUAUAAUAUAUUAAUUUAAUGUUAUUUGAUGAA